ACACACCGCCCGUCACACCAUGGAAGCUGGCUACGCCCGAAGUCGUUACCCUAACCCGGUUUUGGGAGGGGGAUGCCGAAGGUAGAGCUAGUGACUGGGGUGAAGUCGUAACGAGGUAGCCGUACCGGAAGGUGUGGCUGGAUCGCCUCCUUUACAGGGAGACCUAGUCUAAUUACCAAUAGAUGAAAAAGUUGGUAAUUCGCAAGAAUCCUUAGGUCGUGAAGGGAGCAAGAAAAAACUUUCAAACUGUAAUGGGUGAGGGUCAAUGGGCUAUUAGCUCAGGUGGUUAGAGCGCACCCCUGAUAAGGGUGAGGUCCCUGGUUCAAGUCCAGGAUGGCCCACCUAAAAUACACAGGCAUCCUGCCUGUGCCACAAAAAAAGGAAAAAGUUUUGGCAUUGUCUCUUGUAAUCAAGAGCAAGAGAUAAUGCUGGAAUAGAUUCCAGCAAGAACCUUGAAAACUGCAUAGAACUAGAAAGAAAGAGUCAGGUAAAAAAUCCUACAAGCUAGAGCUAGAAAGAGCAAAAGGU
rnacentral:misc_RNA from 1 species